AUACGUAGGGGGCGAGCGUUGUCCGGAAUGAUUGGGCGUAAAGGGCGCGUAGGCGGCCCGGUAAGUCUGGAGUGAAAGUCCUGUUUUUAAGAUGGGAAUUGCUUUGGAUACUGUCGGGCUUGAGUGCAGGAGAGGUAAGUGGAAUUCCCAGUGUAGCGGUGAAAUGCGUAGAGAUUGGGAGGAACACCAGUGGCGAAGGCGACUUACUGGACUGUAACUGACGCUGAGGCGCGAAAGUGUGGGGAGCAAACAGGAUUAGAUACCCUGGUAGUCCACACUGUAAACGAUGAAUGCUAGGUGUAGGGGGUAUCGACCCCUGCUGUGCCGCAGUCAACACAAUAAGCAUUCCGCCUGGGGAGUACGGCCGCAAGGUUGAAACUCAAAUGAAUUGACGGGG
rnacentral:rRNA from 1 species